rnacentral:rRNA from 1 species
AGUAGUUUGAUCCUGGCUCAGGACGAACGCUGGCGGCGUGCUUAACACAUGCAAGUCGAACGAGGAUCAAAUUGGAAGUCCUUCGGGGUGGAAGAUUUGAUUCGAGUGGCGGACGGGUGAGUAACGCGUGAGCAACCUGUCCCAGACAGGGGGAUAACACUUGGAAACAGGUGCUAAUACCGCAUAAGACCACGGUAUCACAUGGUACUGAGGUAAAAGGUGCAAACCGGUUUGGGGUGGGCUCGCGUCCGAUUAGAUAGUUGGUGAGGUAACGGCCCACCAAGUCGACGAUCGGUAGCCGACCUGAGAGGGUGAUCGGCCACAUUGGAACUGAGAGACGGUCCAAACUCC